UACGGAGGGUGCAAGCGUUAUCCGGAUUCACUGGGUUUAAAGGGUGCGUAGGUGGGCCUGUAAGUCAGUGGUGAAAUCUCCGGGCUUAACCCGGAAACUGCCAUUGAUACUAUAGGUCUUGAAUUAUCUGGAGGUCAGCGGAAUAUGUCAUGUAGCGGUGAAAUGUUUAGAUAUGACAUAGAACACCAAUUGCGAAGGCAGCUGGCUACAGGUAAAUUGACACUGAGGCACGAAAGCGUGGGGAUCAAACAGG
rnacentral:rRNA from 1 species